GUUAUGUCGCAAAAUUACCCACUGCUAUCAAAUAAGUUAACAGAUCUGUUAACUGGGAUGUGAAAUGACUAUUUUACCCUUUCAUAUUACCCCCUAUAGUUGGUUCUACUCUGUAAUAUUACCCAUGGUGUAAAAUGACUAAAUUGUCCUUUCUUAUUACCCCCUGUGGUUUGUUGUACUCUGCAAUAUUACCCCCCGGUGUUAAAUAGUUCUUGCAAACCUUACCCCCUACAGAAAAAAAAACCUUUCCCGCCUAAACCACCAUCAGCCGCCAUCACCCACCUCCACCACCAUCAGCCGCCACCACCCACCUCCACCUCCAUCGCCGCUACCCACUUCCACCUCAUCUCAUCCACCACCCACCUCAACCAGUUAAAUAUACACAACCCAUCCCCUUUUCUUUCUGAUUUUCCCGCCAAAAACAAUAAAGUGAAACCGGAGAGAGGAGGAAGAAGAACCCUAGCACAGCAGAUCGAUGGCAACGGCGGACGAAGUUCACAUCUUCGAUAACGAUCUCAAGGGAAUUAGGGAUCUGACGAGGUAUGCUAUGUCUUCAUGCUACGUAGAGAAGUGAUGUCAUCCACGUUUAGAGAUUGUGACUUUUGCCUGGACGAGUCACAAGUCUUAAACGGUGUUUAAUUUAUGUUUGUGGUUGUGUCCUAUGAACAAGAUUUUAUUUUGUUGGGUUGUAUUCUCGUUGCAUGUGUCGACUUUAAACAAUGUUGUCAUAUUUUACUCUUAAAACUUGAAUCAAUGGAUGGACAUCACGGUUUUAUUUUCAUA